GCCGAAGUAGUUCAGUGGCAGAACGCUUUCUUGGUAAGAAAGAGGUCGUGAGUCCGAUUCUCACCUUCGGCUCUA
rnacentral:tRNA from 3 species